rfam:Oryza nivara chromosome 11, whole genome shotgun sequence.
UCCGUCCGCAGUUGUGGAUUUUCGUCUCUAACGUUUGAUUUGACUGUUCAUAUUAUCUAAAAUAAAUAUUAUGAUUAGUAUUUCUAGUCUUAUCAUGUGAUAAGAUAUGAAUAAUACUUUAUGUGUGACUAGUUUUUUUAAUUCUUUCAUAAAGUUUUCAAAAUAAAAAAGACAAUCAAAUGUUGGACACGAAAAAUCAUAAUUGCACUUAUA